rnacentral:lncRNA from 1 species
GUCCUUCACCAUUCCAAGGCAGCCCACACCGACCCACAAUAUUAAGUGUUACUAUCAAACGCCCUGUGCUAGUACCUUAAGAAUGGUUUAUGAACAUUAUUUUUCAUCUAAACGUUUUAUGUAUUGCAAUGUUUUCAAAAAACUAAAUGACAUCAGAUUUUGUGUAUUGACAUAAAAACACAUUUCAAAUUAUUAAUUUUAUCCACUUAUUUCGUUUUAAUUCUAUGUCAAAACAAAGCCCUUCCUUACUGACAUGCAUCUUUGGAAUUUUGUUUCCUUCUUGGCCAAGGUGUGUCUUAAUACUGCUCAGUUUCAGAGGCGAGUCGAGACGCUAUAGUUUUCUUCUUAGAAAACAGAAAUGUGGGCUGGCGAGAUGGCUCAGUAGGUAAGAGCACCCGACGGCUCUUCCGAAGGUCCGGAGUUCAAAUCCCAGCAACCACAUGGUGGCUCACAACCAUCUGUAACAAGAUCUGACGCCCUCUUCUGGAGUGUCUGAAGACAGCUACAGUGUACUUACAUAUAAUAAAUAAAUAAAUCUUAAAAAAAAAAAAAAAAAGAAAACAGAAAUGUGCCCUUUAUUGAUCAGUGGAGAACAUAUAAACUAAAUAACUUAAGUAAAAACUAUUAGGAUUUUUCUCACAGUAAGAGAACUUUUUGGUGAGUGAGACAGACAAAGACAGUGUCAAUAAGACAAGGUCUCACCAGGCUGGCCUUGAACUUGCAGAGGUUCUUUUGCCUCAGGGUUCCAAAUGCUAGGAUUUAUAGGGGGACCUGCUGUGCCCGGUUAAGACAGCUGGCUUUAGCUCCUGUAAUUCCAAAGUGCCAUUGUUCCAAGAAGGAAGACUUACUGGUUAUUUUGGAUCAUUGAUUUUUCUAAAAGAUGGAAAAUCCAACUUUUAUAAAUACUCUUAGCAAAUAAUAUGGUGUUUGCUCUAUUUCCUACUUGGAAUUUAAGGAAUGUUCUUUAGAAAAUAUGGUACUUUUUCUUUUUUUUGAAUUAAUUAAUUUUUUUGAUGGCGAGUAUUUAAAAUUUAACUGUAUAAAAUUACAUGUAACUUUUAAAAAGCAUCCUGUAUAGAGUGUAUUAAGCAUGUUUGUGUGCAGUGAGCAUUUACAGCAUGCUCAGCAUGAACUUUUCUAGUGUCUUGCUAACCCUAAACACAGAAGAGAUGCUAAGUCACUCCCUGAGGCCUGCCCAGGCUUCUUUCCUCUUGAAGCUUGCCUACAUUCCUGGGUGUCUUUGUUUAUGUAAUUAGCUCAUUGUACAGUUGUCCAAACAUAAAGUAUUCUGUAGACCCAGUGCUUUAGACACUUAUAUUUAGAGUGAGAUUUUUGGGACCUAACACAAUAUUCUGUCAAGAUGUAAGGAGCUGAAACUGUACCCUAUAUAUAAAAUGAAGCUAACAGGUCCUAGUUUUAUUGAGUUUUAUAAAUGCUUGACUCUAUCUCUUGUCUUGUGUCUAUGGGCUAUGGAGGAGUCAAAGUGUAAAGUGUGUGUUGGAAUCUUUGUAUUCUUCCUUUAUUACUCUUCAUGGUCCAUACAUGUAUUCUUUAACAUCAGAUUGAAUAGAAUUACCUUUGGUAAUGUCUUAAUGUUCCAUCCUUAAAAUAUCAAAGAUCAUCAGCUUACUGAGAAAACCCUGAUUUUUGACACAGGAUUUUGAAGGUUUACUUUGGCUUGUUAAGCAUCUUAGCAGAGAGAUGCUUCCAAAACAAAACUUGAUCACUUCAGGACCAGGACUUGAACGAGAAGGAAAAAAAAAAAAAGACUUGGGUUUGACAAUGCCCUUCAGAGAUAUGUCUCUGAACUGAAAGACUUUCCAAUAGGCCCCAGCCUUUAAAAGUUCCCUCACCCCUGAAUAGCAUCAAACUAAGUUCCAAACCUAUAAUAAGCAGCCUUUAAAGAGCUUACGUUUAGUAAAUGUAGUUAGUAACUAAUCUGUCACCUUUAGUGCUUAUACCGAUUAUUGACACUGAACCAUAGAUUGUCUUAUAUAACUGUAUCAUUAGCCUGUUAUAUUCAAAUACCAACCAGUUAUUUUGUAUAUAAAUAGUUCUUUACUUUCUAAUUACUGAAUAAUAUCUCACAGGUUUGCUAAAUCAUAUUUACCCUUUAACGAGUUGAUAGCAUUGGAAGUUUGCAACUUUCUGUGUGUAUUUCUGGGGCAGGUCUUUCCAGCUGUCUGGUACUCAUACCCAGCAGUAGAAUUACCUUACGGCCUCCUGGAGUGGUUUCCAGUGGCCCAACGUGUCCACACAAGAAGUAUACAGAGCUGGAGAGAACACUCAGCCAUUAAAGGCUAGGCUCACAACC